rnacentral:rRNA from 1 species
GAUGAACGCUAGCGAUAGGCUUAACACAUGCAAGUCGAGGGGCAGCAUGGUCUUAGCUUGCUAAGACUGAUGGCGACCGGCGCACGGGUGCGUAACGCGUAUGCAACUUGCCUCACAGAGGGGGAUAACCCGUCGAAAGACGGACUAAUACCGCGUACACUUGGGAUAGGGCAUCCUGACCCAAGGAAAUGAAAUUCGCUGUGAGAUAGGCAUGCGUCCCAUUAGCUAGUUGGUGAGGUAACGGCUCACCAAGGCGACGAUGGGUAGGGGAACUGAGAGGUUGAACCCCCACACUGGUACUGAGACCCGGACCAGACUCCUACGGGAGGCAGCAGUGUGGAAUAUUGGUCACUGGGCGAGAGCCUGAACCAGCCAAGUCGCGUGAAGGAUGACUGUCUUAUGGAUUGUAAACUUCUUUUAUACGGGAAUAACAAGAGUCACGUGUGGCUCCCUGCAUGUACCGUAUGAAUAAGCAUCGGCUAACUCCGUG